GCACCAGUUCCAAAUAGCUAUGAUAGAAUACAACCCAACACAUGGAGUGGAGCAUACCAGUGCUGGGGAAAAGAAAACAGGGAAGCUCCAAUAAGAACUGCUUGCCCACCUGGGAUAAAAGAUGGUCUUGUUAGCAACUUUGAAAUUAAAUCUUUCGAUGGAUGUGCAAAUCCAUACUUGGGAUUGGCGGCUAUACUUGCAGCGGGC
rnacentral:misc_RNA from 1 species